rnacentral:misc_RNA from 1 species
GUUAUAUUAAAUAUUAUUAUUUUGUUUAUUUUAAUAUAAAUAAUUAAUAUUUUAAUAACAGAUUAAUAGUGUUUAACUAUUUGAGAGAGAGCGAUAACAGGUCUGUGAUGCCCUUAGAUGUCCGGGGCUGCACGCGCGCUACAAUGUAGUGAUCAUUAUGUUCCUGUUUAGAGAUAAAUGGGUAAACAUUGAAAACAUUACGUAACUGGGAAUGAAAAUUGCAAUUAUUUUUCAUGAACGAGGAAUUCCAAGUAAACGUAAGUCAUUAGCUUACAUUGAUUACGU